rnacentral:misc_RNA from 1 species
UGGAAAAAGGACACAGCUAGUCUGUAGAAUAAGUGGCAGUAUAACAACUGGAAUAAUAUGAUCAAGAACAAUUGAUGGGCAGGUACAAGAGGUGAUAGUAUGUAACACAGACAACACUGAGUGUGUGUCAUCUGGAGGUCUGCCAGGCUACAGUGCUGUUGGUGACGGCCCUACACAGAAUACUCUGACUAUAGAAUCCUUCAACACAGCAGUGGAUGCUAUAGAUUGGUCUUGUCGUGAUGGAACAGCAGGUCGAUAUUCUACAUGUAGAAAGACUGUGAUAUACGGACCAGAUUCCGUUACAAUCCGACCACAACCACCUGGCUAUGCAGCAGAAGGAGGGAGUUUGACUGUGAAUUGUGAAGCUGCCUGUGAUCCACCGUGUUCCUUCUCCUGGAAACUGGGGACUCAGCUAAUGACAGCAAGCUCUCAAUUAAAACUGAGUAACAUCAAGAGGAGUCAGAACGGAAACGUUUACACAUGUAAAGUGACUAACACGGCUAUACCAAAAUCUGUCAGUAAACAGUUCACACUGAGAUUAUACUAUGGUCCAGACAGUGUCCAGAUCAACUCGAGUUCUCCACUGACAGUGAAGGAAAGUGACGAUGUAUCUGUGUCAUGUGGAGCCACUAACUGUUCUCCAUCCUGUUCUUUUACCUGGAAGUUUAAAUCUCAAAUAAAGUCAGACAGUUCCGUGCUGUCCUUAAAUAACAUACAGAGAUCAGCAGCUGGUGACUACACGUGUACUGCUAGAAACACAAACACACAGAAAUCAUUAGACAAGACCCCUUACUCUGGAUGUGCAAUACCAAUCUUCAAUCAUUUCUCUGACCUUGAACUCGCUGUCUAUAAAGGUUACAGUUGAUGAGCAGACUCCCAUGACUCUGAGAUGUGAAGUUAACAGUCAUCCAGGAUCUUACAUCAAACUGUUGAACAACUCACAGACUAUGCAUGAAGUGACAAACUCUAAACAGGCUGAGUACACGUGGAACGAGGCUGGGUGUCUGGAUACAGGACACUACACGUGUGAAGCGGAAAACAACAUCAAGUCAGCUGUCAGUGAAAGUGUGCAGCUUGUUGUGAGAUGUUCACCAAGACUAGACCAUCGAUUUCCAUUCAGAAAAGAGUUUGCAGCUGCAGUAGGUGGUGAUGUGACUCUGAAGAUAUCAGUGAUUGCCAAUCCAACACCGACAUUCACCUGGUACAAACUGACUGAUGGAAACAGAAAUAAUAUUGUGUCUGGUAGUUCAUCAACAACUGACGUAUCUGCUGUUGGGAAUUUCACACUGACAAAUGUUCAGCAGGGAGAUAUUGGGACCUAUCAGGUUGUGGUGUCAAAUGGAGCUAAAAACACAGAUCUUGUGAAGAACGUGACGCUUGAUGUAGCAGGUCCUCCGAAUAUUCCCUCUGAUGUCACAACAUGGAGCAGUGAUCCACACUCAGUAUCAAUUGCUUGGCUGGAGGGAUUUAACGGAGGAUCAAAGCAGGCGUUUAUUGUACGAUACCGAGCAGACACAACACCACAGUGGACAAACUGCACUACAAUCAUUCCAGAAAAAGGUGUUAACACAAUUCAGAAAGCUGUUAUACCAAAUCUUCAACCAAACACGAGGUACCUAGUUCGGGUUUUGGCUUAUAACAUAUAUGGAUACGAAGAUUUUACCACAGAACAGGAAGCUUUGACAUUACCUCCAGGUGAAUGUGUUCUACCAACCUCAUCAAACGAAGUAACUGGGACAGGGAUUGCUAUAGGGAUUGUGAUAGGGAUUGCUACUGCUGUCUUGACAGAGACUGUCUUUGUUAUUUUGUGGAGACGAGGCUUUGUGUGUGCUUCUUCAAAAUCAGAUGGGAAGCAGUCUGAAGGUAAUGUCCUUGAACCUAAAUGGUCAAAUUCCGAAUGAGAGAAAUAACGUGAUAACUACAUUUAUGGUGCUAUACUUCGGGUUGUUGUUGUGUUACAGACAUCAACAUGCACAACUAGACGACACACGACGUGGGAACAGAACUGAACUAGAUAAUUCUGGUGACCAGACAAACACAUACGAGGGACUGGGAAUUCGAGAAGAUACGCCGUAUGCAAAAAUGGAACUUUAUGAAAAUCUCAAGAC